ACGGUCUCGUACCGGCGACGCAUCUUUCAAAUGUCUGCCUUAUCAACUUUCGAUGGUAGUUUCUGCGACUACCAUGGUUGUCACGGGUAACGGGGAAUCAGGGUUCGAUUCCGGAGAGGGAGCCUGAGAAACGGCUACCACAUCCAAGGAAGGCAGCAGGCGCGCAAAUUACCCACUCCCGGCACGGGGAGGUAGUGACGAAAAAUAACGAUACGGGACUCUUACGAGGCCUCGUAAUCGGAAUGAGUACACUUUAAAUAUUUUAACGAGGAACAAUUGGAGGGCAAGUCUGGUGCCAGCAGCCGCGGUAAUACCAGCUCCAAUAGCGUAUACUAAAAUUGUUGCGGUUAAAAAGCUCGUAGUUGCAUUUGUGCGCCGCGCUGUCGGUGCACCGCAUCUGCGGUGAUACUGACACGUUUGCGGAGCAUAUCGUCGGUGAGCCUUCGGUAAAACGGAGGUUCAAUAUCAAAAAUCCUAUCGCGGUGCUCUUUAUUGAGUGUCGAGAUGGGCCGACAAUUUUACUUUGAACAAAUUAGAGUGCUUAAAGCGGGCUCAAAAUGCUGCUUGAAUAUUUCGUGCAUGGAAUAAUAGAAUAUGAUCUCGGUUCUAUUUUGUUGGUUUUCAGAACUCCGAGGUAAUGAUUAAUAGGGAUAACUGGGGGCAUUCGUAUUGCGACGUUAGAGGUGAAAUUCUUGGAUCGUCGCAAGACGAACAUCAGCGAAAGCAUUUGCCAAAGGUGUUUUCAUCAAUCAAGAACGAAAGUUAGAGGUUCGAAGGCGAUUAGAUACCGCCCUAGUUCUAACCGUAAAUAUGUCAUCUAGCGAUCCGCCGACGUUACUACAAUGGCUCGGCGGGCAGCUUCCGGGAAACCAAAGAUUUUGGACUCCGGGGGGAGUAUGGUUGCAAAGCUGAAACUUAAAGGAAUUGACGGAAGGGCACCACCAGGAGUGGAGCCUGCGGCUUAAUUUGACCCAACACGGGAAAUCUCACCAGGCCCGGACACCGGAAGGAUUGACAGAUUAAUAGCUCUUUCUUGAUUCGGUGGGUGGUGGUGCAUGGCCGUUCUUAGUUGGUGGAGCGAUUUGUCUGGUUAAUUCCGGUAACGAACGAGACUCUAGCCUGCUAAAUAGGCGUCGUCAUUUAGGUGUGUGUGCUUUCGGGCGCAUAACUCACUGGCGACGUAUUAAAAUUCUUCUUAGAGGGACCGGCGGCUUCGAGCCGCACGAGAUUGAGCAAUAACAGGUCUGUGAUGCCCUUAGAUGUCCUGGGCCGCACGCGCGCUACACUGAAGG
rnacentral:rRNA from 1 species